rnacentral:tRNA from 1 species
GGCCCCUUGGUCGAAUCGGCUCAAGACGCCGGGCUUUCAAUCCGGAAAUGUUGGGUUCAAAUCCCACAGGGGUCACCA